AUACGGAGGGUGCAAGCGUUGUCCGGAUUUAUUGGGUUUAAAGGGUGCGUAGGCGGGCGUAUAAGUCAGUGGUGAAAGACUCCAGCUUAACUGGGGAAGUGCCAUUGAAACUGUAUGUCUUGAGUAAAGUCGAGGUAGGCGGAAUUGAUGGUGUAGCGGUGAAAUGCAUAGCUAUCAUCAAGAACACCGAUAGCGUAGGCAGCUUACUUGGCUUUAACUGACGCUGAGGCACGAAAGCGUGGGGAGCGAACAGGAUUAGAUACCCCAGUAGUCC
rnacentral:rRNA from 1 species